GACGAACGCUGGCGGCGUGCUUAACACAUGCAAGUCGAACGGUAAGGCUCCAGCUUGCUGGGGUACACGAGUGGCGAACGGGUGAGUAACACGUGGGUGACCUGCCCUGCACUUCGGGAUAAGCCUGGGAAACUGGGUCUAAUACCGGAUAGGACCGCACCGUGAGGGUGUGGUGGAAAGUUUUUUCGGUGUGGGAUGGGCCCGCGGCCUAUCAGCUUGUUGGUGGGGUAAUGGCCUACCAAGGCGGCGACGGGUAGCCGGCCUGAGAGGGUGGACGGCCACAUUGGGACUGAGACACGGCCCAGACUCCUACGGGAGGCAGCAGUGGGGAAUAUUGCACAAUGGGCGGAAGCCUGAUGCAGCGACGCCGCGUGGGGGAUGACGGCCUUCGGGUUGUAAACUCCUUUCACCAUCGACGAAGGGUUUCUGACGGUAGAUGGAGAAGAAGCACCGGCUAACUACGUGCCAGCAGCCGCGGUAAUACGUAGGGUGCGAGCGUUGUCCGGAAUUACUGGGCGUAAAGAGCUCGUAGGUGGUUUGUCGCGUCGUCUGUGAAUUCCGGGGCUCAACUCCGGGCGUGCAGGCGAUACGGGCAUAACUUGAGUACUGUAGGGGAGACUGGAAUUCCUGGUGUAGCGGUGAAAUGCGCAGAUAUCAGGAGGAACACCGGUGGCGAAGGCGGGUCUCUGGGCAGUAACUGACGCUGAGGAGCGAAAGCAUGGGGAGCGAACAGGAUUAGAUACCCUGGUAGUCCAUGCCGUAAACGGUGGGCGCUAGGUGUGGGUUUCCUUCCACGGGAUCCGUGCCGUAGCUAACGCACUAAGCGCCCCGCCUGGGGAGUACGGCCGCAAGGCUAAAACUCAAAGGAAUUGACGGGGGCCCGCACAAGCGGCGGAGCAUGUGGAUUAAUUCGAUGCAACGCGAAGAACCUUACCUGGGCUUGACAUAUACAGGAUCGCGCCAGAGAUGGUGUUUCCCUUGUGGCUUGUAUACAGGUGGUGCAUGGUUGUCGUCAGCUCGUGUCGUGAGAUGUUGGGUUAAGUCCCGCAACGAGCGCAACCCUUGUCUUAUGUUGCCAGCACGUUGUGGUGGGGACUCGUAAGAAACUGCCGGGGUUAACUCGGAGGAAGGUGGGGAUGACGUCAAAUCAUCAUGCCCCUUAUGUCCAGGGCUUCACACAUGCUACAAUGGUCGGUACAGUGGGUUGCCAGUCCGUGAGGGCGAGCUAAUCCCGCAAAGCCGGUCUCAGUUCGGAUCGGGGUCUGCAACUCGACCCCGUGAAGUCGGAGUCGCUAGUAAUCGCAGAUCAGCAACGCUGCGGUGAAUACGUUCCCGGGCCU
rnacentral:rRNA from 1 species